GCCCGAUUCUUAUCCCAACGUCAACAACACGCUGGAUAUCGUCCUGGAUAUCGGCCUGCCAGUCGAGAUGAACUUCACUGGGCCCAUCAUCUACGGGAACAACUCUGGGGUUGCGUUCAGCGGGU